CCGGGUCGGGUCUACUUGUUCUUGGACUGGAUUUGUCUUUGGGACUUUGAAUCAGAGGAUAUGCCUUCAGGUUGUACCAGCCCCAGUGGAUCAGCCCCAGACUGGUUCCCAUAACAAUCAGGACUUUGUACUUUUCCCAGAUGCUCUGGAGGCCCAUGACAGACAGGAAGUCACCUAGAACAACAUUAACCAAUGAAAAUGAAAUCAGCAACAACAGAA